GAUGAACGCUGGCGGCGUGCCUAACACAUGCAAGUCGAGCGAACAGACGAUGAGCUUGCUCCUUUCACGAUAGGCGAAGACGGGUGUGUCACACGUGUAUCACCCCCUUAUCAGUCUGGGAUAACUACGGGACAGCGGAUCUAACCCCGGAGAAGAUCCUGCACCGCAUGGUUCAAUAGAAAAUGUCGGUUUUUGUGUCAGUUCUCGAUGCAUCUGCGCUGCUUUAGAUAGUUGGUACGUUAACGGCUUACCAAGGCAACGAGGCGUAGGCGAGCGGACGGGGUGAUCGGCGACACGGGAAGUGAGACACGGACAAGAGUCCUACGAGAGGCAGCAGUAGCGAAUCUGACGCAAUGGGCGAGAGCCUGACGGAACAACGCCGCGUGAGUGAUGAAGAUCUUCGGAGCGUAAAACUCUGUUAUUAGGGAAGAACAGAUGUGGAAGUAGCUAUGCAGGUCUUGACGGUAACUAAUCAGAAAGCCACGGCUAACUACGUG
rnacentral:rRNA from 1 species